AGAGUACCAAACAUCAAGUUCAAUGUGGCUAAGGUGUUGCAGUCGAUUAUUCCGAUAGUUGAUCAGUCGGUGGUGGAGAAAACUAUUCGUCCUUGUUUGCUUGAGCUUAGUGAGGACUCACACCUCAGUACAACAUAAACCUGAUGUUUAUGCCCAAACAAAUAUCUAUGACGAGCAUCAGCGGUCACAAUGGGCAUGGUGUGUGUGUGUUGUGU